rnacentral:tRNA from 1 species
UGGGGUAUCGCCAGCGGUAAGGCGCAGUUCUGAUUCCGGCAUUUCCGAGGUUCGAAUCCUCGUACCCCAGCCA